rnacentral:rRNA from 1 species
AGGCCGGAACCUUUACAAUGCACGAAAGUGUGAUAGGGGGAUUCCGAGUGCUCAUGUAUUGCAUGGGCUUUUGUAGUGGGUAAGGUCCACUACGAAUAAGAGGUGGGAAAGACCGGUGCCAGCCGCCGCGGUAAUCCCGGCGCCUCUAGUGGCACUCGCGAUUAUUGGGUCUAAAGCGUCCGUAGCCGGUUUGGUAAAUCCGCUGUGAAAUCAUCAGGCUUAACCUGGUGGCGUGCAGUGGACACUGCUGAACUAGGGACCGGGAAGCGUCAGAAGAAUUCUGGGGGGAGUGGUAAAAUGCUAUAAUCCUCGGAGGACUACCGGUGGCGAAAGCGUCUGACGAGAACGGGUCCGACGGUCAGGGACGAAGGCUGAGGGAGCAAAAGGGAUUAGAUACCCCUGUAGUCUCAGCAGUAAACUCUGUAGAUUAGUGUUGCGCGAUCUUAGAGUCGUGCAGUAUCGGAGCGAAGGCGAUAAAUCUACCACCUGGGGAGUACGGUCGCAAGGUUGAAACUUAAAGAAAUAGACGGGGGAGCACCACAAGGGGUGCGGCAUGCGGUUUAAUUGGAUUCAACGCCGGAAAUCUCACCAGAGCCGACAGCUGAAUGAAAGCCAGCCUGAAGGGCUUGCUUGACUCGCUGAGAGGAGGUGCAUGGCCGUCGCCAGCUCGUGCCGUGAGGUGGCCAGUUAACUCUGGCAACGAGCGAGACCCUCACUCACAUUUGCUACUGAUUUGAUGUCAGGCACUAUGUGAGGACUGCCCGAGAAAUUGGGAUGAAGGAGAGGGCUACGAUAGGUCUGUAUGCCCCGAAUGCUCUGGGCAACACGCGUGCAACAAAGGUUGAGACAAUGGGUCGCGACUCCGAAAGGAGAAGCUAAUCUCAAAACUCAAUCUCAGUUCAGAUCGAGGUUUGUAAUUCAACCUCGUGACGCCGGGAUCCCUAGUAAUCAGGUGUAAUCAUCGCUUGGUGAAUGAGUCCCU